rnacentral:rRNA from 1 species
UACAGAGGUCUCAAGCGUUGUUCGGAUUCAUUGGGCGUAAAGGGUGCGUAGGUGGCGCCGUAAGUCAGGUGUGAAAUUUCGGAGCUUAACUCCGAAACUGCAUUUGAUACUGCGGUGCUUGAGGACUGGAGAGGAGACUGGAAUUCAUGGUGUAGCAGUGAAAUGCGUAGAGAUCAUGAGGAAGACCAGUGGCGAAGGCGGGUCUCUGGGACGGUACUGACGCUGAGACGCGAAAGCGUGGGGAGCGAACAGG